GCCCCCGUAGCUCAGUGGUUGAGCGCCACCUUGGUAAGGUGGAGGUCCCGGGUUCGAUCCCCGGCGGGGGCU
rnacentral:tRNA from 1 species